GACAGAGGGUGCAAACGUUGUUCGGAAUUACUGGGCGUAAAGCGCGUGUAGGCGGCGAUGCAAGUCGGAUGUGAAAGCCCUCGGCUCAACCGGGGAAGUGCACUCGAAACUGCAACGCUAGAGUCUCGGAGAGGAUCGUGGAAUUCUCGGUGUAGAGGUGAAAUUCGUAGAUAUCAGGAAGAACACCCGUGGCUAAGGCGGCUCUCUAGUACGGUACUGACGCUGAGACGCGAAAGCGUGGGGAGCGAACAGG
rnacentral:rRNA from 1 species